rnacentral:rRNA from 1 species
UACGUAGGGUGCGAGCGUUGUCCGGAAUUAUUGGGCGUAAAGAGCUCGUAGGCGGUUGCGGAAGUCGGGUGUGAAAUACCGGGGCUCAACUCCGGGGCGCCAUUCGAUACUCCGCUGACUCGAGUCCGGUAGGGGAAGGUGGAAUUCCUGGUGUAGCGGUGAAAUGCACAGAUAUCAGGAGGAACACCGGUGGCGAAGGCGGCCUUCUGGGCCGGUACUGACGCUGAGGAGCGAAAGCUAGGGGAGCGAACAGG